rnacentral:rRNA from 1 species
UCAAGUGACUAAGUGUAUGUGGUGGAUGCCUUGGCGAUCACAGGCGAUGAAGGACGUAGUAGCUUGCGAUAAGCUGCGGGGAGCCGGCAAACGGGCAUUGAUCCGCAGAUUUCCGAAUGGGGGAACCCACCGACUUAGGUCGGUAUCACACACUGAAUACAUAGGUGUGUGAGGCGAACGGAGCGAACUGAAACAUCUAAGUAGCUCCAGGAAAAGAAAUCAACCGAGAUUGCGAAAGUAGCGGCGAGCGAAAUUGCAGCAGCCCAGUGUUCUGAUAGCACGAACGACAGCAGAAAGGUCUGGAAAGGCCUGCUAUAGAGGGUGAUAGCCCCGUAUGCGAAAUCGAACGUGUGGUACUAAGGAACCGAUAAGUAGGGCGGGACACGUGACAUCCUGUCUGAAGAUGGGGGGACCAUCCUCCAAGGCUAAAUACUCGUGAUCGACCGAUAGUGAACCAGUACUGUGAAGGAAAGGCGAAAAGAACCCCGGGAGGGGAGUGAAAUAGAACCUGAAACCGCAUACAUACAAACAGUAGGAGCCCCUGCAGUGGGGUGACUGCGUACCUUUUGCAUAAUGGGUCAGCGACUUACGUUUUGUGGCGAGCUUAACCGAGUAGGGGAGGCGUAGCGAAAGCGAGUUCGAAUAGAGCGAGAAGUCUCAAGGCGUAGACCCGAAACCAGAUGAGCUAUCCAUGGCCAGGUUGAAGGUGUGGUAACACACACUGGAGGACCGAACCGACUAGUGUUGCAAAAUUAGCGGAUGAGCUGUGGAUAGGGGUGAAAGGCUUAACAAAUCUGGAGAUAGCUGGUUCUCCCCGAAAACUAUUGAGGUAGUGCCUCGUGUAUUGCUCCAGGGGGUAGAGCACUGUUAUGGCUAGGGGGACAUGGCGUCUUACCAAACCAUGGCAAACUCCGAAUACUUGGAAGUAAGAGCACGGGAGACAGAGCACCGGGUGCUAACGUCCGGACUCAAGAGGGAAACAACCCAGACCGCCGUUUAAGGUCCCAAAUAUUGACUAAGUGGAAAACGAAGUGUGAAGGCUAAGACAGUCAGGAAGUUGGCUUAGAAGCAGCCAUCCUUCAAAGAAAGCGUAAUAGCUCACUGAUCGAGUCCUCAUGCGCGGAAGAUGUAACGGGGCUAAGUCAAUAACCGAAAGCGCGGAUUUGCACGAUGAGUGCAAGUGGUAGGGGAGCGUUCUGUAAGCCUGCGAAGGUGGUUCGAGAGGACUGCUGGAGGUAUCAGAAGUGCGAAUGCUGACAUGAGUAACGUUAAAGCGGGUGAAAAGCCCGCUCGCCGUAAGCCCAAGGUUUCCUGCUCUACGUUCAUCGGAGCAGGGUGAGUCGGCCCCUAAGGCCAGGCUGAGAAGCGUAGUCGAUGGAAAGCAGAUUAAUAUUUCUGCACCAUGUGCAAGUGCGAUGGGGGGACGGAGUGCGAAAGAUCAUCCGGGUGUUGGAUGUCCCGGUUUGUGAGUGUAGAAGGCCGACAGGCAAAUCCGUCGGCGGAUCUUCGAGACAAAGCAUCGAGGUUCUACGGAACCGAAGUGAUCGGAAGUGCUUCCAGGAAAAGCCUCUAAGCUCCAGCUUGCAUAUGACCGUACCGUAAACCGACACUGGUGGGCGAGUUGAAUAUACUCAGGCGCUUGAGAGAACUCGGGAGAAGGAACUCGGCAAAUUGACACCGUAACUUCGGGAUAAGGUGUGCCUUUGUAGCGUGAAGAGAGAAACACUCAGAGCGUGAAGAGGCCUCAGAGAAUCGGUGGCUGCAACUGUUUAUUAAAAACACAGCACUCUGCAAAGACGAAAGUCGACGUAUAGGGUGUGAUGCCUGCCCGGUGCUGGAAGAUUAAGUGAUGGGGUGAGAGCUCCUGAUCGAAGUCCCAGUAAACGGCGGCCGUAACUAUAACGGUCCUAAGGUAGCGAAAUUCCUUGUC